rnacentral:rRNA from 1 species
GACGAACCACCCAAACGUUAUUCGGAAUUACUGGGCUUAAAGAGUGCGUAGGCGGUCUCGUAAGUAGGGUGUGAAAUCCCACAGCUCAACUGUGGAACUGCGCUCUAAACUACGAGACUAGAGGGAUAUAGAGGUGAGCAGAACAGAUGGUGGAGCGGUGAAAUGCGUUGAUAUCAUCUGGAAUACCGGAGGCGAAGGCGGCUCACUGGGUAUCUUCUGACGCUGAGGUACGAAAGCUAGGGGAGCGAAC